GAGGCAUAAAACCCUAUGCUGUGUGCUUACUAUUCCAUCCUCCUAAAGUUCAAACCUGCUCUGGGGCAAGGAUGGAUUUAUUCCUCCCUGGCUGGUCCCCUCCAAAUCCCACACUAAUAACCAAAAAUAGCAACCUGGAUUAUAGAGGGCAAAUUCUGACUUGCACUGAAACCCUGAUAUGCAGGGUCUUUCCUCAUUUCUUUUACCUCAUCUUCUCCCCAACUCACCCUGAAAUGGCCUUCCCUUUUUUGGAGGCUCUUCUGUAAGUCUUUUACACUGAUGUUCACUGUUUCUUUAAAAUCCCAAGUCAGAAGCAGCAAGCAAAUGAGGCACUGUCAGCUUGGGCUGUAUGGUUCAGUGACUUGGCAUUAAUGACGUUUAUUUUGGAACCUGAGUGAUGGUCUGACCUAUUUUAGGAUCUCUGCUUUAACCGCACCUCCCUUCCCUACUUUUCCAAUAGAAAUGAAGGCAAAAGGGAUCGAGGGGAGGUUGGGGAGAGGAAGGGGGAAAACUUGGAGCUCGGUGCUCUAGGAGUUAUCUCUGAAGCUGCCCACACUGGUCAUAACAGUUCACCCACCGUCAUAAAGGCUGGAAUUCAGGGCUGUGUCCACAAAAUGGGAAGAGAUUCCAGAGGCACCUCUCUGUCCAGUUUCUUGGGUGUGGCCACAGGAAAUACACAAACCAUAGGCCACAUUUGGUAUUGUUCCGCGUUUUCCUCUGUGGAAAAACCUGUGCGUGAUCGAAAUGAUCUCCUUCUUCCAAAGAGCAGAGCUCUCCGGAGGAGGGGAAGGAAGGGAAGGAGGAGGGGAAGCAAGUGCAGGCGAAUAGCCAACUAUGCACAUUUCCGGAGAGUAGGGAUGUAAAACAGAUGUUGUGCAGGAAAAUAAACCAUUGCCCUGGGAGCAUCAGCAUCAGCCUCUGGAGAACAGGGUUUCUCAGAUGCAGGCAAAUAACACAGAAUGAGGUGUUCUCACUCACAUCAGAGCUCCUUCCCUGCGAUGGAGGGCGGGAGCAACAAGACCUGAAACUCCAAGAGGGAGAUGGUGGCUCUGAGCCCUUUCCUACUGGUUCCAAUGGAAUGAAUGCGAGAGUUAUAAGCAAGCAAAAGGACCCAGGCCACUGGGUGGAGACCCUAACAAAACAGAUUUUCUCUGGCAACAGAAGCAAAACAAAGCAGUUGCACUGAACUGACAUACCUCUAGC
rnacentral:lncRNA from 1 species